CUGCAAGCUGCUAGUUGUGAGCACCAGCACUGAGAACCAGCACCCGGAGCUACCAUGGCCUACAGCCGGCAAGAAGGGAAGGAUAAAAUUGUAUUUGUGACCAAAGAAGACCACGAAAGUCCCAGCAAUGCCGAGCUGGUGGUUGACGACCCCACUGAUCCCUAUGCGGAGUAUGGACUGACUCUGCCAAAUGGAAACAUUAACUGGAAUUGCCCGUGCCUUGGAGGAAUGGCCAGCGGCCCCUGUGGAGAACACUUCAAGUCUGCCUUUUCCUGCUUCCACAACAGCACGGACGAAGUCAGGGGAUCCGAGUGUGUAGGUCAGUUCCAGGCCAUGCAGGAGUGCAUGCAGAAAUACCCAGACAUCUAUCCCCAAGAAGAGAAUGAGGACGAGGAUACAGACGACUUCUACCAGGAGGGCCUGGAGAACUUUGAGGAUGAAGAAGAGAUCGAUGAUGACGAUGACUACUACGAGGGGGUUGAGAAUGAGGAUGAAGAGGAGGAUGAAGAGGAGGAGGAGGGCGACUACUACUACUAUGAAGAAGAGGAGGAGGAGGAUGACUAUUAUGAGGACUAUUACGAGGACAACUACUACCAUGACAAUGACUAUUACUAUGAGAACGAUGACUACUAUGAAGAGAACAAUAACUACUAUGAGGAGGAAGAAGAAGAUGACAUCUACUACGAGGCUGACUACCUGGAGGAGGACGAGGAAGAAGAGGAUGAGGAUGUUUACUAUGAGGCUGACUACUUCGACGAGGAGGAGGAGGAGGAGCAAGAGAAAGAGGAUCCAGAAGAUCCAGCAAAAUCCCGGGAGGAAGCGGAUGCCACUGAGGACUCCUCUGAAGAUAAAUUGCAGUACUUCAGCGCCUGAAGGCCACAACCCAGAUCCUCCCGUUUGCUUAGCCACAGAACUUUCUGCACUAUGAAUGCCCUACCUUUCAAUCCCUCUUGCUCUCUCUCUCUGAAAGCAUCCUCUCCUCUGUUGUUUUAUGUACUGUAAUAUAGAAAAGAACUUACUUUGAUGAUCGGGGGUCUUGGCGACUUGCCAUAUACCCUGAAGAAAAGAGGUGUGUGUGUGUGUGCACCUGCAUUCUACAUAAACUCACCCCCAACACUAGGCCACUGCCGAACUGUCCUCUUUAAGUGCCCUGGAUUCUGCUGCUUUGAAAUAAUGUCAAGUUUCUCAACAGUCAAGAGCCGUUACUCAGGGCAGUCUCUUGCCCUUGGAGUAUCACCCUAUCAGAAAAACCACCAAAAAAGAAAUGGCUGGAAAGUGGCAGCUGAUCUUCAGGCUCAGGGAAGAAGAUGUAACAACUUGGUUUCCUGUUUGUUCAUGUGCUGGUUUUCCAGGAGUGCCGUCUUGCCAUAGACUGCGGGUCUGGCCAGCUGACCUAUUUCAUCCCACCAUUCCACAUUCCACAUGGCUCAUGGUCUUUCCUUCCAUUUAAGGAAAGCGUUGGAAGGAAAAACCAACUCAGGCUGUGAGCUCAACUUUUAAUCUUCUGUGGAAAGUUUCGAAGCUGGAAAUGCAUACCUCUGAUCAAGAAAAUGGUGAACACAUUUUAUAGAACUCAUUUCCUUUGGGUCCAUCAUCCUUUUCUGGGACAGAAAAUAACCAAAGUGAUUUAUGGAACAGCCAAAUAUUUUCUUUCACCUUAGAGUUCUUAGAGAAAUGUAUUUUUCUACAACUCCUAGCUUUUAGACCUGAGCAACUAGCAUGAUAAAGCUGCCAUUUCCUGAGAUGGGAGUGCUCCCAGGGCAAGUUACUGUACCCAAAGCUAAACUACAUUUCCUACAUUUUUCCCUCUAGAUCUGUCCACUGUUGUAUGGACUGAUAGCCUCAUGAGUAUGCUACAGUUCUAGGUUAGGGGUGGUCAAAGUAAAACCCAGUGAGAUCUGGAAGGCAGAAUUGGAGCAUCAGCUGUUACACCUUGAAGAUUUGUGCCAGGUACCAGGCACUGCUGCAGUUCACACACACUGUUGCUGACCUGGUACUUCGCCCUGUUAGUCUCCAGUGAUGAUGCCAAACACAGAUAGCUAUAACCUCAGCUCUCACUGGAUCUCUUUCCCUCAGCUUUCCUGAAUCCAGGGCCAGGUUUCUUUCCAGCUCAGUGAGAAGGGAAUUAGAACCUUCUGUAUGUUACCUCUGUCAUCCAGGUUCAAGGCAGUGAGCCCCAGACAGGAUAAUCCUCACUGGUUCCAUUAAACUUUGUGAUUCUUGAUUUCUUUUUCUUCAUCCUCUACUUUUCUUGCUUUCUUAUCCUGCUAAACCACCAUGAAUCAGGCUCACUCUCUGAAACAGAAGCAACACCCCCCCCCAAUCAAUCCCAGUAACUUCCCUUAGUGAUUCCUGAUGGAUAAUGACUUUGCUCUUUUCCCUCAAAUGUUUUCUCCCACACCCUACUUCCCUAGCCUCUGCCAUGAUUGUAUGGAGCCUGAUUCCUAUAAAUAAAUGCUAUUCCAUAGCACA
rnacentral:sRNA from 1 species